UUUGUGGCCACAAAUUAAAAAAACUUCAGAGGGUUAACACACGCAAGAUACGCACAAAUGCUUAUUCGCAGCAGGAGAAGGAAAGCACUUUGUUUUAGCGGUAGGUAAAGUUACGUAAGUCAAAAGAGUUGGUCUGGGAAGGCGUAAGAAAGACGUGAGGAAAUUUAAAACUGCAGUCUCGAUAUCAAGACUGGAGCAUCAUACAUCUUCAGCAGUUUUAGGAUCUUUUUUUGUGUUUUACUGAAUACAUCAUAUCUACAGUUUAAUCGCCGAUCCAUACUUUGUCGACGGGAAAUACCUCAUAACAAACUGACACCAGGCAGGGUCAAAGUGGAAACAUGGCGAUCAGGUGUUAUUAUGAAAACAAGGUGCCCUUAUACAUCAUUCUUGUGAACUACUGUUGUGUUCUUGCCGUUUCGAAAGUCGGCUCUUUUGAUUAUGUUUACUGGCCUUUAAAUGGAAGUGAAGAAGACAUUGGGUGAGUAUCAUUGAUGUUAUUAGUAAAUAUAAACCCAAUCUGCCGAUUG